rnacentral:rRNA from 1 species
GGGAAACUGCCUGAUGGAGGGGGAUAACUACUGGAAACGGUAGCUAAUACCGCAUAACGUCGCAAGACCAAAGAGGGGGACCUUCGGGCCUCUUGCCAUCAGAUGUGCCCAGAUGGGAUUAGCUAGUAGGUGGGGUAACGGCUCACCUAGGCGACGAUCCCUAGCUGGUCUGAGAGGAUGACCAGCCACACUGGAACUGAGACACGGUCCAGACUCCUACGGGAGGCAGCAGUGGGGAAUAUUGCACAAUGGGCGCAAGCCUGAUGCAGCCAUGCCGCGUGUAUGAAGAAGGCCUUCGGGUUGUAAAGUACUUUCAGCGGGGAGGAAGGUGUUGCGGUUAAUAACCGCAGCAAUUGACGUUACCCGCAGAAGAAGCACCGGCUAACUCCGUGCCAGCAGCCGCGGUAAUACGGAGGGUGCAAGCGUUAAUCGGAAUUACUGGGCGUAAAGCGCACGCAGGCGGUCUGUCAAGUCGGAUGUGAAAUCCCCGGGCUCAACCUGGGAACUGCAUUCGAAACUGGCAGGCUAGAGUCUUGUAGAGGGGGGUAGAAUUCCAGGU